rnacentral:lncRNA from 1 species
GAUUGGUUCGGGGUACGCCGCUUCUGCCUUCGCAUGAACGCGAGUGUUGCGCUGGGCAACAAGCCCUAACGGCGCUCUAUCUGAUCACCCCUCCUUUCGCUUCGCUUUGGCAGGGCUACGGUGUCUACCGCUACGAGGACAAGUACGGUGCCAACGUGGACGGCUACUCGCCCAUCUACACCCCCGACCUGUGGACUGAGUCGGGCGACUCCUACACCCUGGGCACCAAGGGCCUGAUCGCCUGGUAAGAGCCGCAUCGGUGGCGACGCGCGAGCGCAGUGUGGUCUGCGCUGGCGCACUGACUAGGCACUGACGGGGGCUACUGCCCAACUAGGGCUUGUGGGUGGGUGGGUGACGUGGUUGCAAGCUACGCACGCCACGUGUCGGUCGGCUUCCCUGACCUGCAGGCGUUGCGACACGUCUUUCCACCCUGUCCACCACACAUCACAGCACUCAUCCUGGCUAGCUUCCGGAUAUGGCAUCGCCCCUCACCAUCCCUCUCCUGCUUUCCUCCCGUUCCCACAGGGCUGGCCUGGUCCUGGUUCUGCUGGCCGUCGGCGUGAACCUGAUCAUCUCCACCUCCCAGCUGGGCGCUUAAGCGCUUUCCUCAAUUGUUGAUGCGAGCUACUUCAUGUAGCGCAUCCUAGCGUCAGCGUGGAUUCGCAUAGCGCAGCUGAGGU